rnacentral:rRNA from 1 species
GGCGGCGUGCCUAAUACAUGCAAGUCGAGCGCAGGAAACAAGUAGAUCCCUUCGGGGUGACGCUUGUGGAAUGAGCGGCGGACGGGUGAGUAACACGUGGGCAACCUACCUUGUAGACUGGGAUAACUCCGGGAAACCGGAGCUAAUACGGGAUGAUCAUUUGAAUCGCAUGAUUGAAAUGUAAAAGUGGGGAGUAAUCCUCACACUAUGAGAUGGGCCCGCGGCGCAUUAGCUAGUUGGUAAGGUAAUGGCUUACCAAGGCAACGAUGCGUAGCCGACCUGAGAGGGUGAUCGGCCACACUGGAACUGAGACACGGUCCAGACUCCUACGGGAGGCAGCAGUAGGGAAUCAUCCGCAAUGGGCGAAAGCCUGACGGUGCAACGCCGCGUGAACGAUGAAGGUUUUCGGAUCGUAAAGUUCUGUUAUGAGGGAAGAACAAGUGCCAUUCGAAUAGGGCGGCACCUUGACGGUACCUCACGAGAAAGCCCCGGCUAACUACGUG